UACCAGCACCCCGAGUGGUCGGGACGAUUAUUGGGCCUAAAGCAUCCGUAGCCGGUCCUGCAAGUCUUCCGUUAAAUCCAGCUGCUCAACAGAUGGGCUGCGGAGGAUACUACAGGGCUAGGAGGCGGGAGAGGCAAGCGGUACUUUAUGGGUAGGGGUAAAAUCCGUUGAUCCAUAGAAGACCACCAGUGGCGAAGGCGGCUUGCCAGAACGCGCUCGACGGUGAGGGAUGAAAGCUGGGGGAGCAAACAGG
rnacentral:rRNA from 1 species